rnacentral:rRNA from 1 species
GAUGAACGCUAGCGGGAGGCCUAACACAUGCAAGCCGAGCGGUAUUGUUUCUUCGGAAAUGAGAGAGCGGCGUACGGGUGCGGAACACGUGUGCAGCCUGCCUUUAUCUGGGGGAUAGCCUUUCGAAAGGAAGAUUAAUACUCCAUAAUAUAUUGAACGGCAUCGUUUAAUAUUGAAAGCUCCGGCGGAUAGAGAUGGGCACGCGCAAGAUUAGCUAGUUGGUGAGGUAACGGCUCACCAAGGCGAUGAUCUUUAGGGGGCCUGAGAGGGUGAUCCCCCCACACUGGUACUGAGACACGGACCAGACUCCUACGGGAGGCAGCAGUGAGGAAUAUUGGUCAAUGGGUGCAAGCCUGAACCAGCCAUCCCGCGUGAAGGACGACUGCCCUAUGGGUUGUAAACUUCUUUUGUAUAGGGAUAAACCUACCCUCGUGAGGGUAGCUGAAGGUACUAUACGAAUAAGCACCGGCUAACUCCGUGCCAGCCGCCGCGGUAACAC